rnacentral:rRNA from 1 species
GGGGAAUAUUGCACAAUGGGGGAAACCCUGAUGCAGCAACGCCGCGUGAAGGACGAAGGCCUUCGGGUUGUAAACUUCUGUUAAUGGGGACGAUAAUGACGGUACCCAUAGAGGAAGCCACGGCUAACUACGUGCCAGCAGCCGCGGUAAUACGUAGGUGGCGAGCGUUGUCCGGAAUUACUGGGCGUAAAGGAUGCGUAGGCGGAAAGAUAAGUGAGAUGUGAAAUACCCGGGCUUAACCUGGGGGGUGCAUUUCAAACUGUUUUUCUAGAGUGCAGGAGAGGAAAGUGGAAUUUCUAGUGUAGCGGUGAAAUGCGUAGAUAUUAGGAAGAACACCAGUGGCGAAGGCGACUUUCUGGACUGUAACUGACGCUGAGGCAUGAAAGCGUGGGGAGCAAAC